AGUGAACGCUGGCGGUAGGCCUAACACAUGCAAGUCGAACGGCAGCACAGUAAGAGCUUGCUCUUACGGGUGGCGAGUGGCGGACGGGUGAGGAAUACAUCGGAAUCUACUUUUUCGUGGGGGAUAACGUAGGGAAACUUACGCUAAUACCGCAUACGACCUACGGGUGAAAGCAGGGGAUCUUCGGACCUUGCGCGAUUGAAUGAGCCGAUGUCGGAUUAGCUAGUUGGCGGGGUAAAGGCCCACCAAGGCGACGAUCCGUAGCUGGUCUGAGAGGAUGAUCAGCCACACUGGAACUGAGACACGGUCCAGACUCCUGCGGGAGGCAGCAGUGGGGAAUAUUGGACAAUGGGCGCAAGCCUGAUCCAGCCAUACCGCGUGGGUGAAGAAGGCCUUCGGGUUGUAAAGCCCUUUUGUUGGGAGAGAAAAGCAGCAGGUUAAUACCCCGCUGUUCUGACGGUACCCAAAGAAUAAGCACCGGCUAACUUCGUG
rnacentral:rRNA from 1 species